CGUCUAUUGAUAACGAAACGAUAAUGUGUCAACAAUGAGAAUCACAUACUUGGCUUAAUAAUUUUCAUUUAAAAUGUCUAAUUUGGAUAUAAUUCGGAAUACAAAACGAAACUUAAAAGUUUUUUUUUAAACGUUCCAAAGAACAAUAUGGAUUUCAAUAGAAAUACUAUUUCCACCGACAAUCAAGAUUUCCGGUAUGACCACUGUUAUUUUGACGAUUUUUCUAUCGGAUCGUCGGUAAGCGUGACCACAUGUGACAACAGCGAUGCCAGUUGGAAAAUUAGUAGACGUGUCGUUGAACUCGACACAUUGGCCGAAUCGCUUUCAGCAUGCAGUUCUUGCCAAGUGCCCAUGAAUUUACUUAACACAGUAGGAAGCAGGGAUUUCGGACAGGCAUGUGUUUUGGAAAUACAGUGUAGCAAUUGUGGUGCCAUCAAUAAUGUGGCUUCUGGACGGAAACAUGACAGAGUUUAUGACAUGAACACAAAGCUUGCAUUAGGUAAAUCAUAAACUGGGUGUUUCACCUGGGACUUUCACAUCGAAACUGGCCCUUCCCCGUGACCUUCAGCACAAAAAAGAAAGGCUAUAGCUGUUGCUCGUGCAGCAAAACAGCGACGCAUAAGACUAAAAACUGGAACGGCAUUCAAAGGACAGUGCAAGAAGUACGAGCGGGACCAACAUACUGUUCAAACAUAGAGGACCAAGAUGUUGAAGUUACAACUUUACCCCCACCUGUACCCAAGCCUGGUCAAGCAGGGCUAGACACUACUGGGAAGGAAUUUGUUUUCUUUGAUUUGGAAACAAGAGGGUUAGAGCGUACUUCUCACAUAAUUCAGAUAGCUGCAGUGCAUUCAACUGGUCAGUUUUCAACAUAUGUGAUGCCUGAGAAGAAGAUGUCCUUGAAAGCGUCAGAAAUAACUGAAGUGACAGUUGUUGGCGACUCUAUGCUUGUUAAGGGACAUAAAGUAACAGCUGUCCCCAUCAAAUCUGCAUUGACAAGUUUUAUAACAUUCUUACAGAAAUUUUCACCAGAAAUUUUAGUUGGGCAUAACAUAGAGUGUAUUUGAUUGUAAAGUGUUGCUCCAUGCUGUCCAUACUUGUGGAAAAAUGUUUGAGUUUCAGCAAAAUAUUUGUGGCUUUUUAGAUACUUAAAAAUGUUAAAGGAAAUAUUACCAAAUAUAAAAUCAUAUAAGUUAUAAGUCAAGGUGUUACAAGGAAAGUUGCAGGAAGUGGAUUGCAACUUAAACAUUUGAGUAUUGAAUCAAAAAGAAACGGACUGAGUGGUUUGAGGAGCCCCCUGUCAG